AUAUAACACUACUCACUCACUUCUAAAGAUAUACUCAGAAGAAAAAAAAAAAGGAGAAGACUUUUCUUCUUCUUCAACCUCAACAUUUACAUAUUUCAUCACAUAACCUUCAACAACUAAAAAACACACACAUCUUCAACAUAACUACUCCCUCCGCCAUUUUUCCGAAUGAUCUGCAACCUUAAGCAUCAUCUCCUACCUCAGUUCAAACCCAUCAUUCCAUAGCCACCCAAGGCCUCUAUGUCUCUGCUCCGUUCCGUUACCGACCAUCAUCCAGAUCCGACAAUAAUCAGUGACAACAUCGAAACGAAUCACUACGGGUUUGUACUCUCAUUUCUCAUGAUUGAUUUAUGUUUGGAUUGAUAAAUUAUAUUAUUGUUUUGAGUAAGGAUUUGAUGUUUUAACUUGAGAGAUAUAACUUGAGAGAUUAAAUAAAGGUUAUGAGAUUUGUUUUAUUUUUCUGGAAAUCUUUUAAUAUGAAGCUUUUAUGUUGUGGAAGGAAACCUUUAUGUUGUUGUAGUUUCAUUUAUCCUAUUUUUUUUUCUUUUAAGUUCUUAAAAAGUGGCCAAGUGUAGUUAGUUUUGAAUCAUCCAAGCUUCUUUCAUUUUAAGAUGAGAAACAAGUAGGUGGAUUGACAGUGGAGUGUCUCCUUUUUCAUUUGUUAGUUAGAUUUGUUUAUUUGUUCUAUUAUUUUGAGGGAAGUUAUCCUAGUUUUGAUUAAAUUUAUAGUUGAUAUACUUUGUGUGAUAUUUUGGUUGUAUUAACAGUUAUCCUGCUAAAAUUCUUUUGCUUAUAUUUCAUCUUGUCUGUCAAAAAAUUGUACUCAUGAGAGAAAGUGAAAAUACUAUUUCACUUUGGUUAGAUUGCUGAAAAUGCAACUUGGAAUUUUAUUGAAUAUGUUGAAGUGCAUCUUUUUAAUACUGGUAAUUAUUAGUGAAUGUUUUGUUUUGUUUUUUUUAUUUUGUUAUAUAUGGCAUAUUUUCAAUUUUUUAGUUAGAUAUUGAUAUUAGUGGUACUAGUAGGACUGUUCAUACUUCAUCUAAUUUAUGGUAGAAAUAGAGUUGAAUCAUGUGCAUCACCUUACUGUUUUCAUUUUUAUUUUCUUGUCCUACUCAAUCCCCUUUCUUUUCUAUUCAUAUAGACUAUACAAACCUUGUUAAAAAAUGUGAGAUCAAGCAUAUUUUAAUACAUAUUAUUUUAGUAAGAUGCAUGCUUGAGAAGUACUUGAAUGUAUCGUAAGGUAUUCGGCAGAGUCUCUGUGUUACGGUAGCAUAUGCUAGGUAGCAGUAACAGUAGGCAUAUAAAGAAUUAAAUGUGGUCUCCAUUGAAAAUUAUGGAAAUUAAAUUAUACUAUUUUUUUAAGUGAUUAGAAAGAUAAAUAUUUGGUAGUAUAUAUAUAUAGAUACAUAUAUUUUGAUAUUGUUAAGUGUAAAUAAAAUAAUAUGAUUUAAUUUGCAAACUUUAAGAAUCUCAUUUUUGUUCCUUUUCUUUUUUAUAAAAAUAAUUCAUUUUUGUAUUAAUUCAGGUUAAAUUAUUUUACCAUUCGGUUGCUGAAUUCUUCAAGUCUUAGGUCCAUUAAUUUUUACACCCUCAUCUUUAUAU
rnacentral:lncRNA from 1 species